AAAUUAUAAUGCUGUUCUUUUGAUCUCUGUUUGACAAAGUCUCCUGAACCAAAAAUGUCUCCACACGAAUAUUAACUGUUUGCAUUAAUGAUAAUAUGAAAUGAUUGCUAGGCAGCAAAUCAGUAGAACGAUUUCUGAAUGAUGACACUGAAGAGUGGAGUAAUGGCUGAUGAAAUUGAAAAUUUAAAAUAGGCUAUAUUAAUAUAGAAAACAUAAAUUUAUUUUAAAUUGUAGGUCUAAUAAUACUUAAUAAUGUCACAGCUUUUACUGUUUGUCUAUAAAAAAAAAAUAAACAAAUGUGGCCUUGGUGAGCUUAAGAGAUUUCUUUAGAAACAUAAAAAAAUAGAUGACCCCAAACUUUUCAGCAUUAAUGCAUGUUUGUCAUGCUUUGUUUUGAGUGUAAUCCUUAUCAUAAGUUUAAAAAAAUAAAAUAAAAUAACUACAGAAAAUAGCUUUUAUUACUGAUUUCAUCUUAGUGCCAUACUGCAGUAGGUUAAUUUACUGUAAGAUCAAACACUUAACAAUAUUAACUUUUUCUUAAACCUUAAGUCUCAGACCUUAUCAGUUAAAAUAAAAGGUUGUAAAUAAAACACUACAUGUUCAUAACUAGCAUGCAAUUAGCAAUUUUUCUAGUGUAGAGCUGUGCAUCCAGCCUAUUUAUUAAAUGACUUUUCUUUUUGUUAUAAAGAUGCUUUCUUGGGAUUGUUGAAUUAGUCAAAAAAGAAUAGAGGGAAGGUUUGCAUAAUACAUUUGUGUUUCCUGCUAGCUAAAUUUCACAUUCAUAAGCAAAAGUUUGCUGGUUCUUAACCUCUCUUUUCAUUGUUCAGAGUUGAUUUAGACAAGAAUAUGGCAACUAUUCAAGUUCUGUCAAAGUUCUAUCUAUGAAAACAUGUUGUUUCUUCUCAGACACCAGAGGGCGCCAGAUUGAGACGUCAGCAGUUCUUCUCCACUGUUCUGCAGAUAGUUUGCUUAAUAAUAUUGUCCUUAAUUGCAAAACUUACUGGCUCUGCACACCUUUCAAGAAUGAACCAAGCAGUGAGAAGCUGUCCUCCACCCAGUUUUCUCCAGUGCAGAAUGAAGCAGAGACAGAGGUUCCUCCACUUCCAGGAGUGGAAGUCAUCAUGUUUCACCACUUUGAGCAGAAGUAUGAUCUGAACCAAUCCAUGAACUAAUGUCAAUGUGAAGGAGAAAGAGAAAGCACAUUGACUGCAGGGUACCACUGCAAAGCAUACUCCAUUCCAUCCAUCCAUCCUUCUGGGUUUAUGUCCCUUUUUGUAAUAAGUGUUUGUUUGCUUGUAGCCUGCUAGUAAUGGUCUAAACUGGUCAAUGUUUAAAAUUAUACUAUUGGCAGAAAACAUCUGUUGUGUGGUCUUCCUCACUCAUUGCAUUGAUUGUCAACAGUAGAGAGUUUUUUUCGCAUUACUGAGUGGUGAAGGAGCUUCACUCUCUGGCAUGACCCAUUUCAAUUCCACCAGUAUUUUCAGUUCUAUUCUUUGAACAUGCGGUUGCUGGACAACCACUGUCAGUGUGAAUUAGUUGAAGUGUAAAGAAAAGUAGAACAGUUAAGGAGAAGAGGAAUGGAAAGAGAAUAGUCUGUUUGGAAACACUAUUGACUAUAGAUUUGAAUUAUAAAAUAUAGAAAUCAUUUAUAGAAUAUAUUUUUUUAUUAAUUUAUUAAUUUUAUAUAAUUUAUAUGACAUAUUUAAUUGAUAGAAUAUUAUAAAUGUAUACAAUAGAUUUAAUGCCCAUGUGAUUACCAUGUGAUUACAAUGAAGGUGAAAAGGGAAAGAGCAAUCGAGGGAUGCCAUUUCUUUAAUUGUCAUUCUCUUUUACAAUGACCAUGUUCAAGCGCUGAGAUUGUAUCCCAAGAUUGUAUCAAGGAGUUCCC
ensembl:lncRNA